rnacentral:rRNA from 1 species
UACGUAGGGUGCGAGCGUUGUCCGGAAUUAUUGGGCGUAAAGAGCUUGUAGGCGGUCUGUCGCGUCUGCUGUGAAAAUCCGGGGCUUAACCCCGGACUUGCAGUGGGUACGGGCAGACUAGAGUGUGGUAGGGGAGACUGGAAUUCCUGGUGUAGCGGUGAAAUGCGCAGAUAUCAGGAGGAACACCGAUGGCGAAGGCAGGUCUCUGGGCAUUAACUGACGCUGAGGAGCGAAAGCAUGGGGAGCGAACAGG